AUCCGAGUGCUGGAAUUGGUAGACAGUCUUAGCUUAAGUUUAAGUGACGCAAGUCGUAAACGUUCGAAUCGUUUCUCGGAUA
rnacentral:tRNA from 13 species